UCAUCCAGAGGAGUGUAAAUUCUAAAGAACGGGACAUUAACCGAGGCGAACUGCGGCGAACAACACUAUUAACUUUGCAAACGUAACGCCACAAUGGAAGAAGAACUAUCGAAGAAUGACACACGUACCUGGGCCAUCUAUGUCCCGUGUCAAAGAAAAGAAACUUCAGUGUGUAAGUAAGGCUUAUUUACCUAUCACCAUCAACUGGAAAAUCUUCCUCUCAUACCAUAACUGUUUAAAUAUAUACUGAUUAAUCCAGUAUACUUUCUUAUAUCGUGUA